rnacentral:rRNA from 1 species
GGAGUCUGGACCGUGUCUCAGUUCCAGUGUGGCCGAUCACCCUCUCAGGUCGGCUACCUAUCGCAGGCUUGGUGGGCCGUUACCCCACCAACUACCUAAUAGGACGCGAGCUCACCUCAGACCGGAUUGCUCCUUUGACCCCUCAACCAUGCGGUUCUGUGGUCUCAUGCGGUAUUAGUGCAGCUUUCGCUGCGUUAUCCCCCUCGUCUGAGACAGAUUGCUCACGCGUUACUCACCCGUCCGCCGCUAGAACUAUAAAUCUUCCGGCCGAAGCCUUCCGUUCUAUAGUCCCCGCUCGACUUGCAUGUGUUAAGCACGCCGCCAGCGUUCAUC